AUGAUCUUUGACAUUAAAUGUAGAAGGGUUUAGAAACAUAUUAUAUUCUUAUUUACAAUAAAAGUGACUCCAAAAUGACACCAUUAAUUUUGAUUGGGCACAAAAUAAUCUGAAACCCAGCCAAAAUGAACUGCAAAUGCAUCCAACAAGUUUGUAGAAUCACAACCUUGAUGUAAUUCUUGCGUACCAGGAAUAUGGGACCAAAUACUAAACUUUUGACUACUUUAUUGAUAAGAAUUCUUUAAGGGUGCCACUAAUUACCUACCUAUUUGUAUCUGAUCAAUUGUAUUAGUAUAAAAUACUUGAUACAACAGCAUUGUUGAAUAUUAGUUUCUUAUUGGCUAGAGGGGCAUUCCAGAAUGUACAUUAAAACAAAUAAAUAAAUAACAUAUCGGGACAUCUUGUAAUCAAACUCGGCUCCACGUCGUCCCGCUGCGUCAUCCAUUAUUCAGAACGUCUGCGUUAAUCCCUUACAUAAUUUCCCCCAAAUAUAGCAUACAAUAGGGCACGGUAUUUGAAUUAUUUAUUUUAUACAGCCAUAAUUUAUCUUUUAUCAAGGGUAAUAAUCUCGUUCCACACUGUACAUCGAUAAUGACAUCGUGCUGGAGAUAAUGAAUAUGAGGUUGAAAAGUGGAAUAAUUGUCCUUUUAAUAUUCUUUCUUCAUGUGUUGAAUCUCAAAUCUAAUGACUUUCUCCCGAAUGGCACAGCGGUCUAUUUUGUAAAUAAGGUAUUUCAGUUGUAAUAUUUUUUAACAUUUGCAAAAACUUAUAAAAACGUGUUCUCACUUUGUCGUUAUGUGAUAUUGUGUGUAGAUUGAUGAGGAAAACAAUGAAUUGAAUCAACUUUAGAAUGAGGCUGUAACGUAUCAAAAUGUGGAAAAGGGGAAGGGGUCUGAAUACUUACCGAAUGCACUGUAAGUAUUCAACCACCUAAGCCAAGACAUGUAAGAAUCACCUUUGGCAGCGAUUACAGCUGUGAGCCUUUCUGGGUAAAUCUCGAAGAGCUUUGCACACUUGGAUUGUACAAUAUUUGCAUAUUAUUAUUUAAAAAGUCUUGAAUCUCUGUCAAAUUGGUUGUUGAUCAUUUCUAGACAGCCAUUUUCAAGUGUUGCCAUAGAUUUUCAAGCCAAUUUAAGUCAAAACUGUAACUAGGCCUCUCAAGAACAUUCAAUCUCAUCUUGGUAUGCAACUUCGGUGUAGAUUUGGCCUUGUGUUUUAGGUUAUUGUCCAGCUGAAGGUGAAUUUGUCUCCCAGUGUCUGGUGGACAGCAGAUUGAACCAGGUUUUCCUCUAGGAUUUGACCUUGUGUUUUAGGUUAUUGUCCAGCUGAAGGUGAAUUUGUCACCCAGUGUCUGGUGGACAGCAGAUUGAACCAGGUUGUCCUCUAGGAUUUGACCUUGUGUUUUAGGUUAUUGUCCAGCUGAAGGUGAAUUUGUCACCCAGUGUCUGGUGGACAGCAGAUUGAACCAGGUUGUCCUCUAGGAUUUGACCUUGUGUUUUAGGUUAUUGUCCAGCUGAAGGUGAAUUUGUCACCCAGUGUCUGGUGGACAGCAGAUUGAACCAGGUUGUCCUCUAGGAUUUGACCUUGUGUUUUAGGUUAUUGUCCAGCUGAAGGUGAAUUUGUCACCCAGUGUCUGGUGGACAGCAGAUUGAACCAGGUUUUCCUCUAGGAUUUGACCUUGUGUUUUAGGUUAUUGUCCAGCUGAAGGUGAAUUUGUCACCCAGUGUCUGGUGGACAGCAGAUUGAACCAGGUUGUCCUCUAGGAUUUGACCUUGUGUUUUAGGUUAUUGUCCAGCUGAAGGUGAAUUUGUCACCCAGUGUCUGGUGGACAGCAGAUUGAACCAGG